UCUGAGGCCUAACGGCAACUAUAACAACUUUCAACAACGGAUCUCUUGGCUCUGGCAUCGAUGAAGAACGCAGCGAAAUGCGAUAAGUAUUGUGAAUUGCAGAAUCCAGUGAAUCAUCGAAUCUUU
rnacentral:rRNA from 1 species